GAUGAACGCUGGCGGCGUGCCUAAUACAUGCAAGUCGAGCGAACGGACGAGAAGCUUGCUUCUCUGAUGUUAGCGGCGGACGGGUGAGUAACACGUGGAUAACCUACCUAUAAGACUGGGAUAACUUCGGGAAACCGGAGCUAAUACCGGAUAAUAUUUUGAACCGCAUGGUUCAAAAGUGAAAGACGGUCUUGCUGUCACUUAUAGAUGGAUCCGCGCUGCAUUAGCUAGUUGGUAAGGUAACGGCUUACCAAGGCAACGAUGCAUAGCCGACCUGAGAGGGUGAUCGGCCACACUGGAACUGAGACACGGUCCAGACUCCUACGGGAGGCAGCAGUAGGGAAUCUUCCACAAAGGGCGAAAGCCUGACGGAGCAACGCCGCGUGAGUGAUGAAGGUCUUCGGAUCGUAAAACUCUGUUAUUAGGGAAGAACAUAUGUGUAAGUAACUGUGCACAUCUUGACGGUACCUAAUCAGAAAGCCACGGCUAACUACGUG
rnacentral:rRNA from 1 species